AUUGAACGCUGGCGGCAGGCCUAACACAUGCAAGUCGAACGAGUGGCGGACGGGUGAGUAAUGUCUGGGAAACUGCCCGAUGGAGGGGGAUAACUACUGGAAACGGUAGCUAAUACCGCAUACCAUCGGAUGUGCCCAGAUGGGAUUAGCUAGUAGUUGGGGUAACGGCGCACCUAGGCGACGAUCCCUAGCUGGUCUGAGAGGAUGACCAGCCAAACGGGAACUGAGACACGGUCAAGACUCCUAGGGGAGGCAGCAGGGGGGAAUAUUGGACAAUGGGCGAAAGCCUGAUGCAGCCAUGCCGCGUGUAUGAAGAAGGCCUUCGGGUUGUAAAGUACUUUAAGUGAGGAGGCGUUACUAGCAGAAGAAGCACCGGCUAACUCCGUGCCAGCAGCCGCGGUAAUAC
rnacentral:rRNA from 1 species